rfam:Brassica rapa chromosome A8, whole genome shotgun sequence.
CAGUCAGUGGAAGAAGUGAUUGGGCUAUGGGCUUGUCAAAGCUCGGGCCCUGGAAAGUCGCCGGGCCACCAUUCCGCAGAGAUGCGGCCUCGGUAACGAGAGAUUCUUGUGCUCGGAGAGACAUUAUCGGCUGAGACAUGUGUAUGGAGCCUGUCUCUCCAGUCAAGAUAUUAUGGCCAGUUUAACAGUAAUUCACUUCCCUAACGGGAUUCAACAGAACGGGGCUUACUUCCACUGACA